GAAGGCUGACACAGCAGCACUGUUCCUAGAGAGGGCAGGAAGCCCUUCAGGUGGGACCAAGGGACUCUUCCCCAGUGCCUAAAGGGUGGAGGCGUGCGUGUGUGUGGGGAGAGGCCCUGAGCAAGCAGAAAGCCAGACUCUCUCAUGCUUUCUGGUAGAGAAGCAAGGUGGACCAGGGCAAGAAGCAGAGGCUUGGAAGGUGGAGUCCAAACGAGGCUGUGUUUCCUGCGGUGUUCAGUCAGCCCUCAAACACCAGAGCUCAGCAGGCACUAACAGGGUGGCCCAAACCCUAAUGCUCUCCCCAAUGCUCUAAGCCACUGAGGCGGUGGAGGCUUGAGGCCACAUCCCAGUCGGGCCGGAUAGCCUGGACUUUGGUGCAGGAUUCAGCCAUGACCCCAGGCUGAUUGCAUCAGAACUCGCUGCCUCUGGCCAUGAAGUGAACUCUCCUUCUGUGAGGCAGCCACAUCUGAUGUACCCAACCCAUUCCUCCCACACAAUCCUGGAAGGGCACAAGAGGAAAGGCCUCAUCCUAGUGAGGAAGAUCUUCAGACUUCCGGAGCCGUCCUCCACGCGAAUCCAGGCAAGGCCGCUUGAAGCUACCUGGGGAAGUCUUUGCUGACCCUCCAUUCCUGGUUGGAGCUGUAGAAGGAAGAAGCUUGGGGUUGAGACCCUGUGAAUGAGGCCCCGCAGCCUGGAGACUCCCGAAUCCAGGUCCCAGUGGAAGAUGUACCCAUUUAUUUUAUUUUAUUAGCUAAUUUAGACUAUUUUCCCAUGGUUCCAUGACCCUCCUCCCAUAGCCAACGAGCACUUCCACUGGGUUUUACGCGUGUUGUUGACCAAGACCCAUUUCAUGUUAUUGAUAUUUGCACUAGCUGAUCGCUUCGAGUCUACACCUGGGAUUCAACCCGAUUCAAUUCAGUGCAGCUCAGUGUAGCUCAACUCAUUCAAUUACACAAUUGUGGUAAGUGGUUUUCCCAGUCGCCGAGAGCCUUUCCCGCCGCCCUGAAGCUGCCCCCUCCUCUGCCGGUAGCCUCCUUAAUUAGAAUGGGAGCUCCCUGAGAUCAGGGACUGUCGCCCUUCUAUUUCUAUCCAUUAGGGCAUUUAGGGCGCCCCUCCCCAGCCUUAAUAACUGCUGCGCUAUGGCAUCUGGCCCUUGCCCCGGGUCACACAGGAAAUAAGUGGGCAGAUGUAUCCUAGGAUCAAAGAGAUGCCCUAGUUGCUCUCUCUUCUCUCUG